UAUACCUACGGGACGCAGCAGUGGGGAAUAUUGCACAAUGGGCGAAAGCCUGAUGCAGCAACGCCGCGUGAGCGAUGAAGGCCCUCGGGUCGUAAAGCUCUGUCCUCAAGGAAGAUAAUGACGGUACUUGAGGAGGAAGCCCCGGCUAACUACGUGCCAGCAGCCGCGGUAAUACGUAGGUGGCAAGCGUUAUCCGGAAUGAUUGGGCGUAAAGGGUGCGUAGGCGGCAAAAUAAGUCUGAAGUAAAAGGCGUUGGCUCAACCAACGUAAGCUUUGGAAACUGUUAAGCUAGCGUGCAGGAGAGG
rnacentral:rRNA from 1 species